rnacentral:tRNA from 1 species
UCCCGGUGGCUCAGACGGUAAAGCGUCUGUCUACAAUGCAGGAGACCCGGGUUCGAGCCCUGGGUUGGGAA